UUUGUAAAGAUGUGAGAAGUUCAACACUGUGGUGAUGGUGUCGUUGUUUGAAAUCUGUUUCUCUCAGGAUUAAGUUGAAUUUACCCAACAGUUUUUUGGGACUGAAAUGUUUUGUAAGUCGAUAAUUAGAGUAAUACAGUUUAUCUCAGGAUCACAGCUCAGUGUGGUCAGAUUUGACCAGUUGGAUGGUUUUUAUGAACUGAAAUCAGGUGUUUUUAUAGGUAGAUGUGACUAAUUUAAUGGUUGUAUAGGUAGAUGUGACUAAUUUAAUGGUUUUAUGAACUGAAAUCAGGUGUUUUUAUAGGUAGAUGUGACUAGUUUAAUGGUUUUAUAGGUAGAUAUGACUAGUUUAAUGGUUUUAUAGGUAGAUGUGACUAGUUUAAUGGUUUUAUAGGUAGAUAUGACUAGUUUAAUGGUUUUAUAGGUAGAUAUGACUAGUUUAAUGGUUUUAUAGGUAGAUAUGACUAGUUUAAUGGUUUUAUAGGUAGAUAUGACUAGUUUAAUGGUUUUAUAGGUAGAUAUGACUAGUUUAAUGGUUUUAUAGGUAGAUAUGACUAGUUUAAUGGUUUUAUAGGUAGAUAUGACUAGUUUAAUGGUUUUAUAGGUAGAUAUGACUAGUUUAAUGGUUUUAUAGGUAGAUAUGACUAGUUUAAUGGUUUUAUAGGUAGAUAUGACUAGUUUAAUGGUUUUAUAGGUAGAUAUGACU